AUUCGAUAAACGAGCGGUGUCUUGCAAUACAAGUGGUAGGUGAUGCCGAAUGUCACUUGAUCACAGCUGAGCCAAUGGUUCUUGAAAUUCACUUUGAUAUACAAGAGCUUUGGAUUACAAGCUUGUUUCUGGAAUGAGUUAUGCUCACAAACCAAGGUUUUACUGUAUCUAAUAAGGAGUUAAUAUAAAAAUAUGUGAAUAGCUUAUACAGCUUGAUAGCAAAACUCCAAAUAACUCAAUUAAAAAAUGAGCAGAGGGCCUGACUAGACAUUUUUCCAAAGAAGAUAUACAAAAGGCCAAUAAAUACAU